rnacentral:rRNA from 1 species
GACGAACGCUGGCGGCGUGCUUAACACAUGCAAGUCGAACGGAAAGGCCCUGCUUUUGUGGGGUGCUCGAGUGGCGAACGGGUGAGUAACACGUGAGUAACCUGCCCUUGACUUUGGGAUAACUUCAGGAAACUGGGGCUAAUACCGGAUAGGAGCUCCUGCUGCAUGGUGGGGGUUGGAAAGUUUCGGCGGUUGGGGAUGGACUCGCGGCUGAUCAGCUUGUUGGUGGGGUAGUGGCUUACCAAGGCUUUGACGGGUAGCCGGCCUGAGAGGGUGACCGGCCACAUUGGGACUGCGAUACGGCCCAGACUCCUACGGGAGGCAGCAGUGGGGAAUAUUGCACAAUGGGCGGAAGCCUGAUGCAGCAACGCCGCGUGCGGGAUGACGGCCUUCGGGUUGUAAACCGCUUUCGCCUGUGACGAAGCGUGAGUGACGGUAAUGGGUAAAGAAGCACCGGCUAACUACGUG